AUUAGAAACAAUAGUGUACGCCUGUGGAGGCCUCGUUUGUUCAGGGGCUGCCGGCCAGGGCUUCAGGACGUUUCUGCGGCUUUCCCCGCGCGGCCUGGGCUCCCGCGGCUGCUUUUCGGGCCCAUGGGCGCAGCCACUGCGCCAGGCUCAAGGGGGGCGGCCCCGUCAGGGCCCGCCAUCUUGGAAGGCCUUUUUUGCCGGUUCUUCCCGCUGAGGAAGUGUCGCUCAAGACGCUGGCCUAUGAGUUGUGAUUUCUGCCUUUUCCCCUUCCUCCUUGGGCUAAGCCAGACCAGAAAGGGCCCCGUGCGCAACGUGCUUCACAAUCUCUCAGGGAAAGCGGCUAACGUGGCGCUACUCCGCCUCCCCUGUUCCUUACCCUUGGGGCGGCCGCCAUGUUUCCUGAACACAAAAUGGCGACACGUGGUUAGCAUUCGUCGCCAACGAGAAAUUGGGGUCGGCCCGAAAGCUCUAGAAUGCACCCCUCUUCCUCCCCGGGGCCUUCCACCUCCGCGAGUUUUAUGACUUAAAAAAGCCCACAGGCUGGUCUGAAGACUUCCUAGCAUGGGCUGUUGUGCUGGAGAGAACGAGAGCUACGAAGAGACUACAGUGCCUCUGACUUUUUCAUAGGACAGUUGGCCGAGGAAGACAAACAUAAAGAUGAAGUGCUUAAUUCAAGGUCACACAAUGUCGGGGAUGGACCUCCAGAUUUCCUUACUGGAAAACAAGCUCAGGGCUCCCACUGAUUGUACAUUAUGGUGAGACGUGGUCUUGUAACACAGUGGUUAAGAAUGUGACUUUGGAGCCAGCCUGCUAGGGGCUGAAUUCUGACUCAGCCAUUUACUAACUGUGUGACCUUAGGGAGGAGGACCUGGUUGAUAGAAGAAUUUAUCUCGUAGUCUUAACAUCCACUGUAAUUCCAAACUUUGAGGACGAUAGAGAUCAGUGGGCUUUGACUGCCCAGCAUGCAGUCUCCAUUCUUAGGUGGGUUCCCAAGCCUGUAAAAUGUAAGCCUUAUGCUGCUGAGGGCCAUCUUGCCACCCUGAGGGAAACGCUGCCUGAGAAUGAAACAAGCAUAAGUAAAAGCUGAGCUGUGAGAUGGAGCAAGAUGAAGGCCACAUGACAUCUUUGGAGCACCUGGAUCUAACUGUGCCUUAAGCUAGUCUAACCCUGAACAUUUCAUCAUUUCAUUGACAUGAGCCCAGGUUUUCUUUUUUUUUGGAUGGAGUCUUGCUCUGUCGCCCAGGCUGGAGUGCAGUAGCUCAAUCUCGGCUCACUGCAAGCUCCACCUCCCGGGUUCACGCCAUUCUCCUGCCUUAGCCUCCCAAGUAGCUGGGACAACAGGCGCCCACCACCACUCCCAGCUAAUUUUUUGUAUUUUUAGUAGAGACGGGGUUUUACCAUGUUAGCCGGGAUGGUCUUGAUCUCCUGACCUCAUGAUCCGCCCGCCUCGGCCUCCCAAAGUGCUGGGAUUACAGGUGUGAGCCACUGCACCCAGCCCUCAGGUUUUCCCUUUUUUUACCCCUCCUUUUGAAAAUUUGAUGUGGAAUUUUGCCACCUGCAGCCAGAAGAGUUUUAACUAAUCAGUGCCAUAAAUUUUAUAUAGUUCUCCUUGCAAAAUGUGGAUCAGCCUUUCUCAGCAAAUCCUUUGUCAUAAAGUGCUGAAUUGUAAGUUUGUCAUGAGAAUCACAUGAGAUCAUGCAUGUGAAGAACCUGGCAUUAUCCUCCUCAUAGAAAAAAACCAGUAAAUAUUAACUACAGGAAGCAAGGAAGGAGUGGGGUGAGGGGAAGAAGAAGGGGUACUGAUUUAAAAGAACCCUGGAGUCCUAAGGAUAAUCUAGGAACCCUCAGACCCAAUCCGAUACCCCUAUUCUAAAUGCUCCUAGUGCCCUGUACCUUCCCCUCAUAAGCCUUCAUUAUCAUUGUAAUGAUAUGUUUAUGUAAUAUUUUGAUUAAUGUCUCUCCUUCACUGACCUAGCAGUUCUAGCAGGGCAGUGAUUUUGCUGUGUUGCAUCCCCAGCACCUAGUCUGGUAUGUGGCAUUCAGCAUAUGUUUAUUGAAUGAAUGGCCAUGUGGUUAUUCAGAUCCUCCUUGAUUAUUGGGGUUAGGAUUGUGGCAGAAGUGGCAAAAUCAGGGAGAGUAGUCCCUGUCCCCUCUGUAUCUUAUACACUGCCCACACUCCCAACACACAUACACAUACAGAGAAUUUUGUCUCAAUUAGAUAAUUAACUUCUGCUUGGUUGUAAACCAAACCACUGGUUCUUAAACUUUCAUUGGAUCAUUUUAUUGAAGAAUUAAAUAGUGUGGUUCUGGCCUAAUGUCUGGAAAGCCUUGCAGAGGAGUGGAUUAGGUCUUUGUGAUAAACAGGCAGCCUUCCCUGCUCCUGUGUCUUUAUAAAAUCUAUUUAACUGGAGUAGUCCACCCUCCCUCAGGCUCUUACAGGAAUAUGUUGGAGGCUGUAGGAAGGUGGGAAACCGAGAGGGAAAGGACUGGGCCGCUGGAGACUUCACUCAUUCCCUAGCAAGAAACAAAAGCAGUAAAAGGUGGCCCGAGGACAACCUGAAGCUCACUCCUUCAGCACUUUUGGCUGGAGGUCACUUGUUGGAGCCCCACUCAGAGCUCAGCACACCACCCCACCAGCAGCCUCCUCCUCCCAGCUGAGGCUGCAUUUCAUCCCUUCCCCCAGCCUGCUUUCCCUGAGAUAGGGGAGUGUUUCCCAGGGCCCAUGUGACUUCCACUGGCAAGUGACGAUUACCAAUGGUUUACUAGUCAGUGAAACUACCAAAGGCUUUUGUGCUGUAGUAAUCCUUUUCCUGUUUAAAACUCUGGGGAUUUUCUAAUGUUGCCAAUAGUUUUUCAAGUCAGCAAUUACUGUGUGGAUUAUGUAAUGGCUCGGUAUUAAAAAUAGAAAAGACUGGAGUUUGCAUCUAUUUUAACCAAAUCUUGAAAACAGAGCAAAGGGAGGGGAAGGGUGGAGAGGGAGAGACCAGAGGAGGAGGGAGAAAAAGAGAUCAUGUGACUGGAUAAGACAGCUCACAAUUCACUGUGCCUUUCUCCCACCAUUUGUGGCCCAAGGACCUGUACUCCCUCCUCAGCCUCCUCUAGGGAGGGGUCCUUGAUGAGAAUUCUGAGGACACAAGACCCCUUGUGGAUAUUUCUUAGCUCAGCCUUGGUGUGCUUACCUGCUUCUGACAAGCAAAGUGGCCAAGUAGGGGAGGGAGUUGAAUCUGAUGUCCUCCACUAAGUCCAGGACUCCUAUUUUGUUUUGUUUUGUUUUUGAGACGGAGUCUUGCUCUGUCACCAGGGUGGAGUGCAGUGGCACAAUCUCGGCUCACUGCAACUUCUGCUGCCUGGGUUCAAGUGAUUCCCCUGCCUUAGCCUCCUGAGUAGCUGGGACUGCAGGUGCGCACCACCACGCCUGGCUCAUUUUUUGUAUUUUAGCAGAGAUGGGGUUUCACCAUGUUGGCCAGAAUGGUCUCAAUCUCCUGAGCUUGUGAUCCACCCACCUCAGCCUCCCCAAGUGCUAGGAUUACAGGUGUGAGCUACCGUGCCUGGCCGAACUCCUGUUUUUGUUUUUGUUUUUAUUGCCAAUGUCUUUGCACUCAGCUUGUUUCUCUUGCUGGAAUGGUAGUCAGGGCGUCACUUAUAUGUCUUUAGCAUCCCAAAUUUCUGUCAGUCCCUUGGCCAAAGUUAUUCCAAAUAAAUAUUCAAUGUAAUUACCUGCCACUUCCCUGCCCCAAUCCUCUUUCUGCUGGAUUGCCACUCCUAAGCCCCAGAUACAGAAAUUGCAGGCUUACAAUGGGUUUGCUCUCGAAUGACAUCACACCAGUCCCCUACCCCCUACUCUGAGUUGAGGGAUAUUUGUAUUUUAACAGAGAGCCAUUGAGUAACUUUAGGGCCUCUCUGGUGGUGGAAGUUUAGGUGCCAGGGUUGAUAUUUUGGGAAGGA
rnacentral:lncRNA from 10 species